rnacentral:lncRNA from 1 species
UUCCAAUAGGGUCGGAAGCGUGUAAAUUAUUGUACUAAAAAAUCACACAAAGUUCAAUUCCCAGGGAAGAGAGGUGGAUCACAAGGAUCUCUUAAAUACCAAGUCUUUCCUUAGUCAGAAUAUCCUUUCUAUAGUAAUUUAAUAGCACAAUUAAAUACUACUAUUAUACCCUCAAAUAUUGAAAGAAAAAUAGGACAAGAAAGAACACAAGAGUUUUAACGAGGUUCGGUAAAUUAUACCUACGUCCUCAGGCACUAACACCAGAUGAUAACUUUACUAUCUCCAAAAUAUUACAAACAAAUAGAAUUCCUUAAGAAUUCUCAAAUGGGAGAAGAGAGAAAACUAAGAGAGAAAGAUUGGUUG